rnacentral:rRNA from 1 species
GGGAGGGGGGUGAAAUCCUUCCCCCUUGAUUAUUUAAGUUAGGGCUUAACCCCCCAAUAUAAACCGGGAUUAGAUACCCCGCUAUAUGGGGGGGGUUAGAAAGGGGGGUAGUAACGGCUAUGUCCCCCAAACCCAAAGAACUUGGCGGCAGCCCACCCAACUAGAGGAGCCUGUCCCAUAACCGAUACCACCCGUUAACCCAACCCCCCACAUGUUUGUAUACCGCCGUCUAACUUUUAGCUUUUAGGCUAAGGUGCAAAGGUAGCCCUGGAAGACAGGUCGAGGUGCAGCGUAUUGGGGGGAGGUGAUGGGCUACAAUUCUCUAGUAGCGGACCCCUCUAUCAUAGGGGGGAAUAAGUUGGAUUUAGAGGUAGUGGGGGGUCAAUAGCCCCCCAUGAAUUGGAUCUGGGCCGUGUACAUAUCGCCCGUCACUCUCAAUAAACUUGAGAUAAGUC